rnacentral:rRNA from 1 species
CUUCGGGGAACGAUAACGGCGUCGAGCGGCGGACGGGUGAGUAAUGCCUAGGAAAUUGCCCUGAUGUGGGGGAUAACCAUUGGAAACGAUGGCUAAUACCGCAUGAUGCCUACGGGCCAAAGAGGGGGACCUUCGGGCCUCUCGCGUCAGGAUAUGCCUAGGUGGGAUUAGCUAGUUGGUGAGGUAAGGGCUCACCAAGGCGACGAUCCCUAGCUGGUCUGAGAGGAUGAUCAGCCACACUGGAACUGAGACACGGUCCAGACUCCUACGGGAGGCAGCAGUGGGGAAUAUUGCACAAUGGGCGCAAGCCUGAUGCAGCCAUGCCGCGUGUAUGAAGAAGGCCUUCGGGUUGUAAAGUACUUUCAGUCGUGAGGAAGGCGGCGUCGUUAAUAGCGGCGUUGUUUGACGUUAGCGACAGAAGAAGCACCGGCUAACUCCGUGCCAGCAGCCGCGGUAAUACGGAGGGUGCGAGCGUUAAUCGGAAUUACUGGGCGUAAAGCGCAUGCAGGUGGUUUGUUAAGUCAGAUGUGAAAGCCCGGGGCUCAACCUCGGAAUAGCAUUUGAAACUGGCAGACUAGAGUACUGUAGAGGGGGGUAGA